AGUGAGUGGCGGACGGGUGAGUAACACGUGGGUAACCUGCCCUAAAGUGGGGGAUAACAUUUGGAAACAGAUGCUAAUACCGCAUAAAACCUAACACCGCAUGGUGUAGGGUUGAAAGAUGGUUUCGGCUAUCACUUUAGGAUGGACCCGCGGUGCAUUAGUUAGUUGGUGAGGUAAAGGCUCACCAAGACCGUGAUGCAUAGCCGACCUGAGAGGGUAAUCGGCCACACUGGGACUGAGACACGGCCCAGACUCCUACGGGAGGCAGCAGUAGGGAAUCUUCCACAAUGGACGAAAGUCUGAUGGAGCAACGCCGCGUGAGUGAAGAAGGUUUUCGGAUCGUAAAACUCUGUUGUUGGAGAAGAAUGUAUCUGAUAGUAACUGAUCAGGUAGUGACGGUAUCCAACCAGAAAGCCACGGCUAACUACGUGCCAGCAGCCGCGGUAAUACGUAGGUGGCAAGCGUUGUCCGGAUUUAUUGGGCGUAAAGCGAGCGCAGGCGGUUUCUUAAGUCUGAUGUGAAAGCCUUCGGCUCAACCGAAGAAGUGCAUCGGAAACUGGGAAACUUGAGUGCAGAAGAGGACAGUGGAACUCCAUGUGUAGCGGUGAAAUGCGUAGAUAUAUGGAAGAACACCAGUGGCGAAGGCGGCUGUCUGGUCUGUAACUGACGCUGAGGCUCGAAAGCAUGGGUAGCAAACAGGAUUAGAUACCCUGGUAGUCCAUGCCGUAAACGAUGAGUGCUAGGUGUUGGAGGGUUUCCGCCCUUCAGUGCCGCAGCUAACGCAUUAAGCACUCCGCCUGGGGAGUACGACCGCAAGGUUGAAACUCAAAGGAAUUGACGGGGGCCCGCACAAGCGGUGGAGCAUGUGGUUUAAUUCGAAGCAACGCGAAGAACCUUACCAGGUCUUGACAUCCUUUGACCACUCUAGAGAUAGAGCUUUCCCUUCGGGGACAAAGUGACAGGUGGUGCAUGGUUGUCGUCAGCUCGUGUCGUGAGAUGUUGGGUUAAGUCCCGCAACGAGCGCAACCCUUAUUACUAGUUGCCAGCAUUUAGUUGGGCACUCUAGUGAGACUGCCGGUGACAAACCGGAGGAAGGUGGGGACGACGUCAAAUCAUCAUGCCCCUUAUGACCUGGGCUACACACGUGCUACAAUGGAUGGUACAACGAGUUGCGAGACCGCGAGGUUUAGCUAAUCUCUUAAAACCAUUCUCAGUUCGGAUUGUAGGCUGCAACUCGCCUACAUGAAGCCGGAAUCGCUAGUAAUCGCGGAU
rnacentral:rRNA from 2 species